AGUGAACGCUGGCGGUAGGCCUAACACAUGCCAGUCGAACGGCAGCACAGUAAGAGCUUGCUCUUACGGGUGGCGAGUGGCGGACGGGUGAGGAAUACAUCGGAAUCUGCUUUUUCGUGGGGGAUAACGUAGGGAAACUUACGCUAAUACCGCAUACGGCCUACGGGUGAAAGCAGGGGAUCUUCGGCCCUUGCGCGAGUGAAUGUGCCGAUGUCGGAUUAGCUAGUUGGCGGGGUAAAGGCCCACCAAGGCGACGAUCCGUAGCUGGUCUGAGAGGAUGAUCAGCCACACUGGAACUGAGACACGGUCCAGACUCCUACGGGAGGCAGCAGUGGGGAAUAUUGGACAAUGGGCGCAAGCCUGAUCCAGCCAUACCGCGUGGGUGAAGAAGGCCUUCGGGUUGUAAAGCCCUUUUGUUGGGAAAGAAAAGCAGCAGGUUAAUACCCCGCUGUUCUGACGGUACCAAAAGAAUAAGCACCGGCUAACUUCGUG
rnacentral:rRNA from 1 species